rnacentral:lncRNA from 1 species
AAACACAAGCAGAUGAUUAACCUGAAUGAAAAAAAUUGGUAGAUUUGGAAGUCUAAGAUAGAGGAUGCUCUUUAUUACUAAGAUUUAUAUGUUUCCCUUGAGGUUGAGGAAACCAAACCAACGGAGAUGACAGAUGAUGAGUGAAAGAAGCUAAAUUGGAAAGCCAUUGGAUGCAUUCAACAAUGGUUAGAUGAUAAUGUAUUUCAUCACGUGUCAAAUAAAACUUUGGCACUCUCUAUGGAAGAAAUUGGAAGGCUUUAUGAAAAAAAACAGCCGGCAAUAAAGCUUUCUUAAUCUGAAAACUAGUUAAUUUGAAGUUCAAAGAAGGUGCAUCAAUUGCAG